UACAGAGGGGGCAAGCGUUGUUCGGAAUUACUGGGCGUAAAGGGCGCGUAGGCGGCCGCCUAAGUCAGACGUGAAAUCCCUCGGCUCAACCGGGGAACUGCGUCUGAUACUGGGUGGCUUGAAUCCGGGAGAGGGAUGCGGAAUUCCAGGUGUAGCGGUGAAAUGCGUAGAUAUCUGGAGGAACACCGGUGGCGAAGGCGGCAUCCUGGACCGGCAUUGACGCUGAGGCGCGAAAGCCGGGGGAGCAAACGGG
rnacentral:rRNA from 1 species